UGGGGAAUAUUGGGCAAUGGGCGCAAGCCUGACCCAGCGACGCCGCGUGGGUGAUGAAGGCCUUCGGGUUGUAAAGCCCUUUCGUGCGGAAAGAACAGUCCCGUGGUGAAUAUCCGCGGGAUUUGACGGUACCGCAGGAAGAAGCACCGGCUAACUCCGUGCCAGCAGCCGCGGUAAUACGGAGGGUGCAAGCGUUGUUCGGAAUUAUUGGGCGUAAAGGGCGCGUAGGCGGUUGUGAUAGUCAGAUGUGAAAUCCUUCGGCUCAACCGGAGAACUGCAUCUGAAACUUCACAACUCGAGUACAGGAGAGGGAAACGGAAUUCCCGGUGUAGAGGUGAAAUUCGUAGAUAUCGGGAGGAACACCAGUGGCGAAGGCGGUUCCCUGGCCUGAUACUGACGCUGAGGCGCGAAAGCGUGGGGAGCAAACAG
rnacentral:rRNA from 1 species